rnacentral:rRNA from 1 species
UACGUAGGGAGCAAGCGUUGUCCGGAAUCAUUGGGCGUAAAGCGCGCGUAGGCGGCCCGAUAAGUCCGCUGUAAAAGUCACGGCUCAACUGUUGAAAGCCGGUGGAUACAUGUCGGGCUAGAGUACGGAAGAGGCAAGUGGAAUUCCUGGUGUAAGCGGUGGAAUGCGCAGAUAUCAGGAGGAACACCUAUAGCGAAGGCAGCUUGCUGGGACGUUACUGACGCUAAGGCGCGAAAGCGUGGGGAGCGAACAGGA